CGUAGGGCGCAAGCGUUGUCCGGAAUUAUUGGGCGUAAAGAGCUCGUAGGCGGCUUGUCACGUCGGGUGUGAAAGCUCGGGGCUUAACCCCGGGUCUGCAUUCGAUACGGGCUGGCUAGAGUGUGGUAGGGGAGAUCGGAAUUCCUGGUGUAGCGGUGAAAUGCGCAGAUAUCAGGAGGAACACCGGUGGCGAAGGCGGAUCUCUGGGCCAUUACUGACGCUGAGGAGCGAAAGCGUGGGGAGCGAACGGGAUUAGAUACCCUGGUAGUCCACGCCGUAAACGGUGGGCACUAGGUGUGGGCAACAUUCCACGUUGUCCGUGCCGCAGCUAACGCAUUAAGUGCCCCGCCUGGGGAGUACGGCCGCAAGGCUA
rnacentral:rRNA from 1 species